rnacentral:rRNA from 1 species
AUGCGCGUAAGCCUGUACGCUGACGAUGCGGUAAUCUUUGCAAAUCCAAUAAGAGAGGAGGUGGAUACACUAUUGGAGCUGCUAAAUUCUUUCGAAAAGGCCAUGGGACUAAAACUGAACCAAGCAAAAUCCUCUGUCAUUUCGAUGAACUGCGAUGCUCAGAUUCUGUCAGAGGUUUUGCACGGCUUCGGUGGCACGAUCGCCAACUUCUGCACCACUUAUUUGGGGUUACCAAUCUCUCCAACAAGACUGCGGCCCAUGCACUUCCAAUUCCUCAUUGAUCGAGUCAAAUCACGCCUGGCGGGAUGGAAGGGCAAGCUGAUGACUUUGGCCGGUUGGCGCGUUCUGGUGCGUGCAGUGUUCUCCUGCGACGCCCGGAUAAUUAAGCUACAGUAA